UACGAAGGUCCCAAGCGUUAUCCGGAUUUAUUGGGUUUAAAGGGUGCGUAGGCGGGCUAUUAAGUCAGUGGUGAAAGCCCCAAGCUUAACUUGGGAACUGCCAUUGAUACUGAUGGUCUUGAAUACUUUGGAGGUAAGCGGAAUAUGUCAUGUAGCGGUGAAAUGCUUAGAUAUGACAUAGAACACCAAUUGCGAAGGCAGCUUACUACACAGUAAUUGACACUGAGGCACGAAAGCGUGGGGAUCAAACAGG
rnacentral:rRNA from 1 species